UACGAAGGGGGCUAGCGUUGCUCGGAAUCACUGGGCGUAAAGCGCACGUAGGCGGAUUGCUAAGUCAGGGGUGAAAUCCUGGAGCUCAACUCCAGAACUGCCUUUGAUACUGAAGAUCUUGAGUUCGGGAGAGGUGAGUGGAACUGCGAGUGUAGAGGUGAAAUUCGUAGAUAUUCGCAAGAACACCAGUGGCGAAGGCGGCUUACUGGUCCGGUUCUGACGCUGAGGCGCGAAAGCGUGGGGAGCAAACAGG
rnacentral:rRNA from 1 species